UACGUAGGGGGCUAGCGUUGUCCGGAAUCAUUGGGCGUAAAGCGCGCGUAGGCGGCCAGAUAAGUCCGGUGUGAAAGUCAAAGGCUCAACCUUUGAAUGCCGCUGGAAACUGUCUGGCUUGAGUCCGGAAGGGGCGAGUGGAAUUCCUGGUGUAGCGGUGAAAUGCGCAGAUAUCAGGAGGAACACCAAUGGCGAAGGCAGCUCGCUGGAACGGUACUGACGCUGAGGUGCGAAAGCGUGGGGAGCGAACAGG
rnacentral:rRNA from 1 species